rnacentral:rRNA from 1 species
UGAGGAAUAUUGGUCAAUGGACGCAAGUCUGAACCAGCCAAGUAGCGUGCAGGAUGACGGCCCUCCGGGUUGUAAACUGCUUUUAGUUGGGAAUAAAAAGAGGGACGUGUCCCUCAUUGUAUGUACCUUCAGAAAAAGGACCGGCUAAUUCCGUGCCAGCAGCCGCGGUAAUACGGAAGGUCCAGGCGUUAUCCGGAUUUAUUGGGUUUAAAGGGAGCGUAGGCGGAUUAUUAAGUCAGUGGUGAAAGACGGUGGCUCAACCAUCGUUAGCCAUUGAAACUGGUAGUCUUGAGUGCAGACAGGGAUGCUGGAACUCGUGGUGUAGCGGAGAAAUGCUUAGAUAUCACGAUGAACUCCGAUCGCGAAGGCAGGUGUCCGGGCUGCAACUGACGCUGAGGCUCGAAAGUGUGGGUAUCAAACAGG